UUUUUUUUUUUUGUGGUUAUAAUAUGGAAUUCUUUGUCUAAUGUAAUGUACACUUGACAGUUGGUUUGUGUGUUGAUAAGUGAUAACAUCUUAUAUCUAUUUAUAUAUAUAUAAAGCUAGGAAUAGAAAAUAUGAUGUGGCACGUCUUAUUGCUCAAGGAAGUGGUUUAUCUUUUUUCUCCUUUUUAAAUCCAAAUUCUCUUAUCUAGGUAGACAUAUUAUAUUUUACCUAUUAUCAUUGAAAGGAAUAUGAAACUGAUGCUUUUGUUAAUCUCAUUUAUUACAUCGCAUCAUUAUCUCUCAAUGAAUAACAUACAUCAGUUAUAAAGAACUUUUCACCUAUUGGUUUUCCUCAAUUAAACAAAUUUCCAUGGCUUGAUCUGUCUCUAUAUAAUAAUCCAAUAAUGGUUGCUACCUUUGCAAGUUGUAACCUUUAAGUUUCAUAUUUAUGGAGAAAAAAAAAACUACUACAAUCUCCUGUAGUGAGCAGAGACUUAUCUACAAAUAUAGGCUCCCUUCCUGUCAUAAAACACAACUUCCAAGCAAUGGUUCUUCCGGCCAGAAGAUGAAUGGAGUCAACACAACGUUAAGAGGCUCAUUGUACAUCUCUUUGGGUUAACCGAAGCAUUUCUUCUAUUGUGCUACAAAAGAAUGUGGUAGUGCAAGAAAUUUAAAAGUUUUUUAUUACUCUAGGUUCUAGUUCGGAGAAAUAUAUUUUUGUAAAGAUUGGAGAAACACAUAAACAUUAUUACACUUAUGUAAGAUGAUGUGUCAUUCUUUUAGGCCAAGGAUAUUGAAUUUAUCUUUUUUCUCCUU